AUUGAACGCUGGCGGCAGGCCUAACACAUGCAAGUCGAACGAGUUGCCGACGGGUGAGUAAUUUCUGGGAAACUGCCUGAUGGAUGGGGGUUACUACUGGAAACGGUAGCUAAUUCCGCAUUCCUUCACAAGUGCCCAGAUGGGAAUAGCGAGUUGGUGGGGUAACGGCGCACCAAGGCGACGAGCCCUAGCUGGUCUGAGAGGAUGACCAGCAAAACUGGAACUGAGACACGGUCCAGACUCCGACGGGAGGCAGCAGGGGGGAAUAUUGGACAAUGGGGGCAAGCCUGAUGCAGCCAUGCCGCGUGUAUGAAGAAGGCCUUCGGGUUGUAAAGUACUUUGAGCGGGGAGGCGGUACCCACAGAAGAAGCACCGGCUAACUCCGUGCCAGCAGCCGCGGUAAUUC
rnacentral:rRNA from 1 species